CGCCUGCCUGGAGACCGAGGCGCGGCCGCGUGUGUGGGGGCAGCUCGCGGGCGGUGCAGGCUCCGGUGUUUGCGUUUGGGGUUUAUCAGUCUGGUGCAGCGCCUGGUAUAGGGUAUUUGCUUCUACCUCAGAGCCUGCUUCCUCUGAUGCCACAUUUAUUCUUCUAACAACCCUAGAAAUUCUUCAGCCUGGGGCUGUGUACCCAACAGGCAGACGGCUCAGUCUGUGUACUUUGUAUAAGUGUCUGGAAUGUACACCUGGUACCUCUCCACUGGCAUCCACAGUUUAAGAAAGUAAAUAGAAGCUUUCAAGCAGGAAUAUGAUGUCUUCCUUGGAAGGACCCUUCAUGAAAAGAAAGAAUCUACCACCAGAUGUCUGCUAUUCGGUUUCCACUAAUCAGUCCUCACCCAACUCACUUCACGGGCGAAAAUUAGUAUUGAAUUUUUGGUAGUUCACUGAGCGAUUUUUGGCAAAGUAACCAUACAAGCCAGGCUUCCAUUUACCUGCUGUCAUCCCAGUGGAAUGUUUCCCUAGUCUCACUGAUGUGUUCAUUAACAUUAGUGUUUAGGUUCAUUGGUAAUGGCUGGAGAAGACAGGGAAUGAGAAGCAGGAAGAGGAAGAGGCACUGAGAAUAAUGGCACAGCACGUAGGAGGCAGUGGAAUAUCGCUGCAGUUUACUAGCUGGGGGUAGUAAUGUCCUUAUUUUCCCUCUCACUCUGAACCUUUGCCCUGGAUAAGGGGGAGUUGAAUUUAGCUUUAAGAAGGGAUUAGUAAGAAGAGAAUGUGAAUGUUGGUUUGACAGGUGGGGUGGGGGAGGCCAUUAAAGCCCAGGGGCCAACAGCCACCCUAGCACUUGGUUUUUCUCCACUGUUCAAAACCCAGCACUUGUAGAUUUCCAUUCUGAAAAAGUUUGUAACAAAGAGUAAGCCAUUUGAAUGUGAAUGUGUAGUAACAACAUGUUGGUGAGGAUGUUUUGCUUAGAAUUUUAUCUUUUUUUAAAAAGAUGUUUAAAAUUUUAUUGGUGAUUUCAGUUUAUUUACAUAUUAGAAUUAUUGUGAAUUUUUAAUAAAACUACAAAUGACUGAAAG